rnacentral:rRNA from 1 species
UACGAACCGUGCGAACGUUGUUCGGAAUCACUGGGCUUAAAGGGCGCGUAGGCGGUUUGCCAAGUCAGGGGUGAAAUCCUGCAGCUCAACUGUAGAAGUGCCUUUGAUACUGGCGAACUCGAGGGAGGUAGGGGUGGGUGGAACUUCUGGUGGAGCGGUGAAAUGCGUUGAUAUCAGAAGGAACGCCGGUGGCGAAAGCGACCCACUGGACCUCUUCUAACGCUGAGGCGCGAAAGCCAGGGGAGCAAACGGG